UACAGAGGGUGCAAGCGUUGUCCGGAAUUAUUGGGCGUAAAGCGCGCGCAGGCGGUCCUUUAAGUCUGAUGUGAAAGCCCACGGCUCAACCGUGGAGGGUCAUUGGAAACUGGGGGACUUGAGUACAGAAGAGGAAAGCGGAAUUCCACGUGUAGCGGUGAAAUGCGUAGAGAUGUGGAGGAACACCAGUGGCGAAGGCGGCUUUCUGGUCUGUAACUGACGCUGAGGUGCGAAAGCGUGGGGAGCAAACAGG
rnacentral:rRNA from 1 species